UAUUUAUUCUCUAUGUGCCAUUACAUCAUAAAACAGAGACAAGGCAUCACUUAAGAGAGCAUAAAUCUCCCAUUACACGUUGUGCAUCAGAAAAUAAAAAAAGAGAAGAUGAUGAUAAGGAAACAAAUAUGUUGAAGAUGAAGAUGAUAAUAAGGAAAACUUACUUUAUGAAGUCUUCAAGAUGAAGUCUUGAGAGCUUUUGGUUGUGGUUGUGUUUCAAAAGGGGUGGGAGCUUCUACUUUUAUUAUGAGUAUUGGUUGAAGAUGAGAGGAACUUCUAUCAGUGAUGAGAAUCACAUUCUGGUAAGGUAUGUUUGGUAUUUUUCAAUUCAUGGUUUAUAAGAAUUUUGGGCGGGUCAAAUGAUUUUGGGUCAUGGGUUUCUCCUUUCACACGGGUUUAGAGGAAUUGGGAUUUUACAAUUUAGAGUUUUUGUCACAAAACUAGAAAAUCGCAUCGAUCCUGUGAUUUUACGAUCUUGUGAUCUUCCCCAACGAUCUCAUCAGUGGUCGUAAUAUUGCAUAUAGAUUUGGCACACGACUCGCUAAUUUUUGAAAACUCGUAAGAUCUACCGAUCCUACGAUGUAUAUCGCGAUUUUGACUACUAUGCUUGCUUCAUUUACUUGGUUUACUGUUGCAACAUCAUUCAAUUGGUUGCUUACAACACCUUCAACCAGAUUCUAGCUUAUAAUAUCUCCAACCUUAGCUCUUUUAUUCCAACUAGUUUUUGAAGUCUUACUACUUUUAUUAGAUCUCUUUCUAGAUUUACCAGAUUUCUCUCUACUAAUUCAUGGUUAAGGAGGACAAGUUUCUUUGUGCACGAAAUAUUUUACCUAAAAGGGAGUAAUGAUAUAUCUGCAUAACCAUAUAUAUAUAUAUAUAUAUAUAUAUAUAUCACUUGUCAUAUAAUCUAAAAUAUGUUGAAUAUCAUGAUAUGUUUUCUAAUGACACUAAUUUAAUAAAAACAUACUAGUUUUUUAAUUUCAUCAAUAAAAAUGUCAUCUUAUUUGGAAAUAAAAUCAUAUUUGAUUCUAACUUGCCAAAUAUUUUGACGACCCAAAUUUUCAUUGAUUUUGUUUAAUCUUCCAAUCUUGCAAUCUUUCUUUGACAGAAAAUGUGGGAUUAUUAUUCGAGGCACUUGUUUUAUCCUCAUCUUUGGUUAUCAAACUAACGUGUUCUAUAUUUGCCAUAAUAUAUAAUUUAAGUUUAAUAUAAAAUUAUAGAUUUCGAGGCAAUGAACAUAGAAUUAAACUUAUAAAGGAAAAACCAAGACUUUAUGAAGCAGUAAAAAUUUAUAAUGGAAUUUUGCUAUUUCCAACGAAAGCAUUUUUCUUUCGAUACGUACACUAAACCUUAUCAAUGAUGAAUACAAAAAUAAUUUAUCAGGGGAAACUAUAGAAGUGAAGUUAAUAUAAAUUUUGGUUAUCUAAUUAUAUAUUUUAAUUUGAUUUAUCCUCCUCCAAUAAGAAACAUUAAAUUGGUCAUCUAGUUAUACAUUUUAUGAGUGAACGCCGUUAACGUGUUUUUCCAAGUUCAACAGAAAGUGGUAACAUUAUUUAUCAUGUGAUACUAAUAAAAUGUUGCAUAUCAGAAGGGGAUAAAUCAAAUUAAAAUGUAUAAUUAGAUUACCAAAAUUUUUAUUUACUUCACUUCUAUACUUCCACCUGAUAAAAUAUGUUUGUAUUCACCAUUAGCAAGGUUUAUUGUACGUAUUGAAAGAAAAAUACUUUUGUUGAAAAUAGCAAAGUUCCAUUCUAAACUUUUACUUUUUCAUAAAGUCCUAAUUUUUCCUUUAUAAAUUUAAUUUCAUGUCCAUUACCCCAAAAACUAUAAUUUUAAUUAAACUUAAAUUGUAUAUUAUGGCAAAUAUACAACAAGUUAGUUCGAUAACUGAAGAUGGGGACAAAUCAAGUUCCUCGGAUAAUAACCCCACAUUUUUAGUCAAAGAAAGACUACAACAUUGGAAGAUUGAACAAAAUUAACGAAAACUUGGGUCAUCAAAAUAUUAGGUAAGUUAGAAUCAAAUAUGAUUUUAUUUUCAAAUAAGAUGACAUUUUUAUUGAUGAAAUUAUAAAGGUAGUAUGUUUUUAUUUAAUCAUUGUCAUUAGAAAAUGUAUCAAGAUAUUCAUCAUACUUUAGAUUAUAUUGACAAGUGGCAUAUGUAUACAUUUUGUUAUGCAGAUAUAUUAUCACUCCCUUUUAGGUAAAAUAUUUCGGUCAAGGCUAGAAAUAGUCCAAUUUGUGCCAUAAGAAACUUGUCCUCCUUAACAAGGAACUGGUAGAGAGAAAUAUGGUAAAUAUAGAAAGAGAUUUAAUAAAAGUAGUAAGACUUCAAAAACUAGUAGGAAUAAAAGAUCUAAGGUUGGAGAUAUUAUAAGCUAGAAUUUGGUUGAAGGUGUUAUAAGAAACCAGUUGAAUGAUGUUGCAAUAGUAAAUCGGGUAAAUGAAGCAAGCAUAGUAGUCAAAAUCACGAUUUACAUUGUAGGAUCGAUAGGUCUUAUAAGUUUUUAACAUCUAGCAAGUCACGUGCCCAUUAUAUAUGUGAUGUCACCAUCGCUAGUGAGAUCACCGGGGAAUAUCGUAGGAUCAUAAAAUCGGAGGUCAAUGCUAUUUUCUAUUUUUGUGACAAAAACCCUAAAUUAUAAAAUUCUAAUUCUUCGAAGCUCAUGUAGAAGGAGAAA
rnacentral:lncRNA from 1 species